rnacentral:lncRNA from 1 species
CGUUACAUUCUGUUCUGCCUUUAACUGAGAAUCUUGAAUUAGCCAGGCAUCUAUGAAGACAGUGAUGUUGUGAAGACAGAGGUAUGCAGCAACUGCAGCAAGACACUUUGGGGCAGUGUACAGUCCAAAGAGAAGGGCUUUGAACUCGAAUAAUGUGUCAUUGAGUGCAAACCUUAGGAGUCUAUGGUGGUCAGGUCAUAUACUGAUGCGCAAUUAUGCAUCCUUUAGGUUGAUGACCAUGAACCAGUCCCACUUCCUUAGAAAAGGAAUGAUGAUUUCUAAAAUUACAACAUAAAAGUAUUUGGGCUUUAUAUAGUAAUUGAGGUCCCUGAGGUCUAGAAUGGAGCAAAGGCCCCCAUCAAACUUGGGACUGUGAAAUCAUGGGAAUAGAAGUCGUUGUGUCCUUGAGAAGUAGGGGUGUGAUUUCCUCUUCUAAUACAGAAGAUGUGUUAUGAGCCUUUAAAAGCCCAUGAGUGAGAGGGUAGGGAAUUUGAUUGCAUCGUCUAAAUGAAUUACAGAAAGGACCCAGGAACUGUUAUUUGUUACUAGAUUUCAAGGUAUAGAGAUAAUGGUUAAAUUGCCGCACUGUGGCCAAAACUGUGCUCACAACCCGGGGUUCAAUCCCAGGUAGCUGACUCAAGGUUGACUCAGCCUUCUAUCCUUCUGAGGUCAGUAAAAUGAGUACCCAGCUCGCUGGGGGAGGGCAAUGUGUAGCCUCCAUAAUUAACUUGUAAACCACCCAGAGAGUGCUUGAAGCACUAUGGGGCGGUAUAUAAGCAGCAUACUUUGCUUUUUAAUAUGGUAUGUGGGGCUGACAGGAGGUGAAAGGGACAAAUUUGCCAAUGAGAAGAAUCAAAGAUGUUGUUUUGUUUUCUUUCAGGUCACCUGGAGGAAGGUUGGCAGAACUGUUCGUUGUGGGUUUGUUGGCAGUAGAACUGAGAAGAGGAAGAAGGAGCUGGGUUCCUUUGUCUGCCAAACUUCAGAACUCCAGUGCACAGUACAAAAGAAGAGAAACCCAGUGCACAGAGUCUGGCCAGACAAAGAUGCUCCUCCAGCCCAGCACCAACGUAAGUGCCAGUCCUGCAGACAGAGGAAAAAAGGAAAACCUUGCUUACCCACCCACCAAUUCAAAAAGCAGACAGCAAGCCAGGCAAGCGUAAAAUACAGCAGAGAGUCCCUUUCUGGGUCCAACAGCAGAAUGGAGGAAAUUCAAGGAAGGCAGACAGCAGUCCAUCCCAAUCCCUCAGUCCACACAUACACGCACAACAGAAACUCAAAAUAGUUGCUGAAACUCACCAAAAUAUACAUCUGCCACAGAAUAAAUUAAAUACAGAACUACUACCA